AUUGAACGCUGGCGGCAUGCCUUACACAUGCAAGUCGAACGGUAACGCGGGGCAACCUGGCGACGAGUGGCGAGCGGGUGAGUAAUGCAUCGGAACGUGCCCAGAAGUGGGGGAUAGCCCGGCGAAAGCCGGAUUAAUACCGCAUGAGACCUGAGGGUGAAAGCGGGGGAUCGCAAGACCUCGCGCUUUUGGAGCGGCCGAUGUCAGAUUAGCUAGUUGGUGGGGUAAAGGCCUACCAAGGCGACGAUCUGUAGCUGGUCUGAGAGGACGACCAGCCACACUGGGACUGAGACACGGCCCAGACUCCUACGGGAGGCAGCAGUGGGGAAUUUUGGACAAUGGGCGCAAGCCUGAUCCAGCCAUGCCGCGUGCGGGAAGAAGGCCUUCGGGUUGUAAACCGCUUUUGUCAGGGAAGAAACGCUCUGGGCUAAUACCCUGGGGUAAUGACGGUACCUGAAGAAUAAGCACCGGCUAACUACGUG
rnacentral:rRNA from 1 species